rnacentral:tmRNA from 1 species
GGGGCUGACCGGUUUUGACAGCAGGUCGGACGUGACGGUAAGCAUGCCGAGCUUUGUGUGGUGGCUCGUAAAUCCUAAUGCUCAACCUUUCAAAUGGCAAUAACAGCUAUGCACUCGCUGCGUAAUUAGACCGAGUCAAUUACCUUAAUCCGGUGGUCCAAGGCGGCCGCCCGACGAGUAUCCCGCCGAGGGUUCCGCUCUUUAAUCCGAGGCACUAUGGGGUAUCAAACUUAAGAGAUAGCGCGGUCGAUGCCUAUAAGUCCGUGCGAGAUUCAUAGGCUAAGGGUCAGGAUUCGGUGUUUCCCUCGUGUCCUUUCCCCGACAAUCAAGCGGAAACUAAGCAUGUAGAAAGCUCUCAGGUUCCUUGUUUGGACGAGGGUUCGACUCCCUCCAGCUCCACCA